rnacentral:rRNA from 1 species
UACGAAGGGGGCAAGCGUUGUUCGGAAUUACUGGGCGUAAAGGGCGCGUAGGCGGCCUUGUUUGUCAGGCGUGAAAGCCCUGGGCUCAACCCAGGAAUUGCGCUUGGGACGGCAAGGCUCGAGUUCGGGAGAGGAGAGUGGAAUUCCCAGUGUAGAGGUGAAAUUCGUAGAUAUUGGGAAGAACACCGGUGGCGAAGGCGGCUCUCUGGACCGAUACUGACGCUGAGGCGCGAAAGCGUGGGGAGCAAACAGGAUUAGAUACCCUGGUAGUCCACGCUGUAAACGAUGUGUGCUAGACGUUGGGAAGCCUAGCUUUCCGGUGUCGCAGCUAACGCGGUAAGCACACCGCCUGGGGAGUACGGCCGCAAGGUUAAAACUCAAAG